UACGUAGGGGGCAAGCGUUGUCCGGAUGUAUUGGGCGUAAAGAGCGUGUAGGCGGCUUUACAGGUCCGUUGUGAAAACUCGAGGCUCAACCUCGAGACGCCGGUGGAAACCGUAAAGCUAGAGUCCGGAAGAGGAGAGUGGAAUUCCUGGUGUAGCGGUGAAAUGCGCAGAUAUCAGGAGGAACACCCGUGGCGAAAGCGGCUCUCUGGGACGGUACUGACGCUGAGACGCGAAAGCGUGGGGAGCAAACAGG
rnacentral:rRNA from 1 species